ACACUUACCUGACGGGAGAUACCAUGAUCACGAAGGUCGUUUUCCCAGGGUGAGACUUACCCAUUGCACUCCAGAUGCGCUGACCCCCGUGAUUUCCCCAAAUGUGGGAAACUCGACUGCAUAACUUGUGAUAGUGGGGGACUGCAUUUAUGCUCUCCCCUA
rnacentral:snRNA from 1 species